UGUGCCAUUUGCAAGAUCUACUCAGAAGAGAUUUGCCAUUGACUGAGGCUGAGAGCAUGUGACCUAGCUAAUAGAUACUAGUGGGUAUCCAUGGCUGGGUGGAAAUUUGAACCUUGGUCUCCAGGAGUCCUUGUUGGUGGAUAUAUUUGUGGAAAGUCCAGAGAAGAAAUGUUCUGGACUGCCCCAGAAAAUGAUCAUCACUUUGAAUGCGAUUUUCCUGCUUCUUGGCAGGGGGUUGGACUGGAUGGCACACAAGGUCUCUUCUAGCUCUAAGAUUCUAGGAUUCUACAUGCUCUCUGCCCAACUGACUGUAGUGACAGUAGUGACUGUAGCAACCCAACUAGGCUGAUGCUACUCUAACUCCACCUUCUGUCGCUGCCACCUCUCCCUCAUAAUCACAGAGUUCUAUGUAAGUUCCUGGCCAUUGUGGAUGACACAUUUUGACAUCACCGGGUCGUGUAGGUGCCUUUGUUGAUGUCAGAAUGGGGAGUGGCAACCUGAGAAUGGCAACAGCAAAAACACAAGAAUGAUCCAUCCUCUUUCCCAGUGCAGAUGAGUGCAGGGAAAAGGAGAUUGCAAUUGUGUCUUAUGCAGACAUCAGACUUGUCCAAAUUGGACCUGAUCCAGCAGUCUACACUGUCCUAAAGCUAUGGGAUACUCCAGAGUUUUAAGCAAACUCUAGAACAUCCCCCUACUCUGCCGGGGACGGGGCAGCCUGCAAUAUUUACUAAAAGUAGCAGAACAUCAUGAAGACUGCCAGGAUCCAAUUUAGGGCCUGUGAUCAGCUUCCUGGUGCCACUCUUUGAGAGUUCUGCAUAUGAGAACUGCACAGAAAUCAGAUCCAGCGUUCACCUUCAUAGCAAAGCACCUGCAGGCAGAGUCAUACCUGGUGGACUUCCCUCUGUUCCAUAUAAUUCAUAAUGGAGAUGUGUGAAGCAGCCAAUCCAUGUUCAAGGAGACUGUGAAGGGGCCCUGCAGGGAAACAGAAUGUAUCAAAAGACAGAGACUUGCCUCUAAACCAUAUAGUUUUGAACUGGCACCGACUGAGUUGGAAGUUAACAUAGACAGAGCCUUCCGUUUAUAAAGACAAGGAUUGGGGAUGAAAUAGAGAGAUUUGGAUUUGAGAAAGAAUGGAGAACUACCUAUGGUUUUGUGGAAUAUUUAAUAAACCUAUCCUUGUUCAUUUAA